UGUUAACAUUAUCAUUAGUCUAACCUUAUAGUUAUAUAGGAGGCAUAACUUGCACAACAUCAAAGUAAUAACAUGUCACAAAUAAACACUCAAGCAUGGAAUCACGGCAUAAACUAAUGCAUCAAAUUAACUAACUUAAGCUAACCUAUUGCAACGACAAGAUAUUACCCCCUUAAACCAACCCACCUCAUGGACGAGUCGACAUCUCUAAAUUUGAUCCAAGAUGAUUCCCCUUACUGCCACAAAGCCAUCGCUCCUGACGGUGCAUUGUUUGGAGGUCAAACGGUCCAGUUAUACCUCGUUUACUUGUUUGCAACACGUUGAAACUCUCAGGGAUGAAACUGUCCUUUCACUGCCUAGCUGGAAAAUUCCAGAUUUAAUUCUCCAGGUCUAGUCAUCCGCAGAUUCAUCCCUAACAAACAGAGAGUUACGUUCUACUCACCUAACUUUCCAGGAAGAAUGUUUUAACCACUGACCCCCAAUUUUACGGAAAUUGCAAAAUAGUCACUAUUCAUAUCUUAAUAGCAAAAAGCUAUCUUCUCCAAUUGGUUCCCACGGUACAGAGAACAACGCCGGAAACUCCAUGAUUCGGAUCGCUCCAGGUUGCGCCUAUCGCCCUCGGUACCCGCCGCCAGUAGCCGCUGAUGGUUUCCGAUAUCAACCGGUGGCCUCUUCCUUCGUCCGGACUCCAAGAGCCUCCGCCAUAACUCCCGACACCGAGCUCCUUCUCGACGAACCUCCCUUUCAUGGUUGCCGCUUCCUGAUCGUUGCAUCUUCCCUUCCUUGUUCCGGUUCUUAAGAAGUUUCCGCUGAGUCCCAACUUCUCUCUUUGAUCCUUGAUUCAAUCGCCAGAGACCAUGUCGAUCUCCAGAUCUCCACGAUUAUGGUUCGUCGUCAACCUCUAUCUCCCACUCUGUCGCUUUAAUCAAUUUCUUCUGCCU
rnacentral:lncRNA from 1 species